UUGAACCAAUAAUUUUGUAAGUUUAAGGCGGCGAGCUAGCAGAAUCUUUAGCAUGCUGAACAAGUGUUUGAUGGCCUUGUAGGUACUGCAUGUACCAAGGAUAAUAAAAACUUCACUUCAAACGUCAGUCUCCUGGAAUGAAUAGUAACACAACGAAUGGAAGAAAAUAUAGCAGAUCGAAAUAUUCGCAGAAAAGACAACCGCAAAACUUACCAGUGUUUCUCAGUAGCAUUUGAUGGGAAAACAGAUAUCACUGAUGCAAAUCAGCUCGCAGUAUUUGUGCAUGGUAUAAACGUAUAUUUUGACAUCAUCGAAGAAUGUUUUCAACUGGUGUCUACGAAGGGUACUACCACAAGAGCAAACAUUCUUAAGGGGUGAAUAUGGACCUCUCAAAGCUACUAUUCGUAAGAAUAGGUGGAGUUCAGACAAAGGUUGGACAAAAUAAAAGUGUCGUAACUUUGAUUCAGAGGCACAUGGAAAGCUUCGGAAUUAAACAAACAUCAGAAAAAGACUCUUCAUAAUCCAUCAGGAAACAUUAUGUACUCUCAGGUUUGAAGGAUUUGAUGGACAUGGUUCUAAAAACUCUAAACAUACCUCGUUAUUUUCGGCAACUUUUGUUGAAUCAAAGAAUCAUCACAAAAACUUGAUUUGCGUCUGCAAUAUUCGUUGGUUCCGUCGAAUCACUAUGCUAGAAAGAGUAUACACUAUGUAGGGAGGAAAAGCUACUUUUUUUUAUUUAGAAUGUCACAUUUCAAACGGCUUUUAAACCGGUGAAUAUUUCUGGUGAAUUUAAAAUUUUGGUUUUUAAACCGAAUAUUUCUGGUAGAUUUAAUACUUCAUUUAAACAACUUGAGUUUAAAGCUUCAGGAGUGGGGGAAAUGAGCCAAUACAUGACAUGUGAAGAUACGUAGUCACUUCGAAACAAAAAAGUGACUGUGGAAAAGCCAGCUUGUAAAAUCAAAUUAUCCUAUUUUUCCUAAAGUAGGAUAGCUCAAACAUAAAUAUAAGUAACACAUUUGUCACUGUGAUACGUAACUGAAAAAUUGAUUUUUCUUCCUUUAUGCCGAUAUUCAUUUACACACUGGUGAUUUCAAACUGUUUAAUACUUCAUUUGAUGUGGAAGUGAACACUUUUCUAGAAAAUUUUCGAAUUCAACAAUGCAAUGAUCUAUUAAAACUCAAAUUUCAUGCAGAGGGUGCAUCUCUUGCUCGAGUUCAGCAAGAAACAUUUUCCUGAAACUGAAAUGUAUACCAAAUUUAUAGAUCAUGCGUAAAAAAAAAAAAGAUUCGACGAGAAGUCAACAUUUAUGUCUAAGUCCUACCAUCACAUCACAGACUUCUCUUCCGGCCAAUGAGUGAGAAAAAGCUGCUGAUUCCUAUUGUAGGUGAUGUAUGAAAGUGACUACUUUAUCAAAACUAUUUCUUCUAUGGCGAUAGAAAUCACAGUCAACGUAAACGCCACUCAGAAGAAAUGCUACGAACAGUGCUGGAUUAACCAUUAAGCAAAAUAAGCAUGUGCAUGGGGCACCAAGUGGGAGCACCACAGAAAAGGUAAAUGGUUUACAGCACAAAAGAUUUCACUUUAAGCCUCCUAAAACAUUGGAAGUAGUUUAUAUGAUCAGAAAUAUAGUUUCAAAGUGUUCAUGGUGUUAAACGGGGUAGGAGAAAACUUUUCAAAUAUAAACAAAGUGCAAGUAUACAAAAAUAAACACUAUUUUCCA
rnacentral:lncRNA from 1 species